rnacentral:rRNA from 1 species
UACAGAGGUCUCAAGCGUUGUUCGGAUUCAUUGGGCGUAAAGGGUGCGUAGGCGGCGCGGUAAGUCGGGUGUGAAAUCUCGGGGCUUAACUCCGAAACUGCAUUCGAUACUGCCGUGCUUGAGGACUGGAGAGGAGACUGGAAUUUACGGUGUAGCGGUGAAAUGCGUAGAUAUCAGGAGGAAUACCGGUGGCGAAAGCGACUCUCUGGACGGCAACUGACGCUGAGGCACGAAAGCGUGGGGAGCAAACAGG